AAGUCGUAACAAGGUUUCCGUAGGUGAACCUGCGGAAGGAUCAUUACCGAGUUUUAGGGUCAGCCUCCUUCGGGGGGUCUGGCCCGAACCUCCCAGCCCUGUGUCUACUGACUGACGUUGCUUCGGCGGACCGGUCGUCCUCUGGGCUCCCCCAUCUGGGGGCCGCCUUCUGAGGGCACCGCCGGGGGGUGCCUCGCCGCCCUUGGAGAGUCUGUCCGCCGACGGCCGCCAAACACACAAAACUCUUGUAUACCGAAACGUGUCGUCUGAAACCAAACAAGUGGUUGUAUAAUCCAAAAACAAA
rnacentral:misc_RNA from 1 species